rnacentral:tRNA from 1 species
ACCUGGGUGGCUCAGUCGGUUGAGCAUCUGACUUCAGCUCAAGUCGUGAUCUCAUGGUUCGUGGGUUCCAGCCCCACGUCGGGUU